GAUAAGUAAUAAAAUAUGGGUUUGUACGAUUUGAAUUAUUUUAAAUUAUAGUAUUUAAUUAUUACAAAACAAACUUUAGCAAAUUAUAUGAACAAUAUAUAUAUAUAGACAGGCGGUGGAAACUGCCAAGCUGGAGUACGGUAGGGUAGAGGAAAUUUCCGGUGGAGCGGUGAAAUGCAUAGAGAGUGGAAAGAACACCAACGGCGAAAGCACUCUACUAGGUUGACACUGACACUGAGAGACGAAAGCUAGGGAAGCGAAUGGGAUUAGAUACCCCAGUAGUCCUAGCCGUAAACGAUAAAUACUAGGCGCUGUGCGUAUUGACCCGUGCAGUGUUGUAGCUAACGCGUUAAGUUUUUGUAA
rnacentral:ncRNA from 1 species